AACGAACGCUGGCGGCAGGCUUAACACAUGCAAGUCGAGCGCCCCGCAAGGGGAGCGGCAGACGGGUGAGUAACGCGUGGGAAUCUACCCAUCUCUACGGAAUAACGCAUGGAAACGUGUGCUAAUACCGUAUACGUCCUUCGGGAGAAAGAUUUAUCGGAGAUGGAUGAGCCCGCGUUGGAUUAGCUAGUUGGUGGGGUAAAGGCCUACCAAGGCGGAGAUCCAUAGGUGGUCUGAGAGGAUGAUCAGCCACACUGGGACUGAGACACGGCCCAGACUCCUACGGGAGGGAGCAGUGGGGAAUAUUGGACAAAGGGCGGAAGCCUGAUCCAGCCAUGGCGCGUGAGUGAUGAAGGGCCUAGGGUUGUAAAGCUCUUUCACCGGUGAAGAUAAUGACGGUAACCGGAGAAGAAGCCCCGGCUAACUUCGUGCCAGCCGCCGCGGUAAGAC
rnacentral:rRNA from 1 species